CCUUUAUCCAGAGCGGCGUAGGGAUCUGGCCUGAAGAUCGCCGCAGCAACCGGCCCUCAUCGCGGCACCCGGUGCUCCGCCAGCCCGCACGCGCCAACGAUGGCUUUACAUAGGCGGCGGGAACGAUAAGGG
rnacentral:ncRNA from 2 species